AUACGUAGGGUGCAAGCGUUAAUCGGAAUUACUGGGCGUAAAGCGUGCGCAGGCGGUUUUGUAAGACAGUGGUGAAAUCCCCGGGCUCAACCUGGGAACUGCCAUUGUGACUGCAAGGCUGGAGUGCGGCAGAGGGGGAUGGAAUUCCGCGUGUAGCAGUGGAAUGCGUAGAUAUGCGGAGGAACACCGAUGGCGAAGGCAAUCCCCUGGGCCUGCACUGACGCUCAUGCACGAAAGCGUGGGGAGCAAACAGGAUUAGAUACCCUGGUAGUCCACGCCCUAAACGAUGUCAACUGGUUGUUGGGGAUUUAUUUUCUCAGUAACGAAGCUAACGCGUGAAGUUGACCGCCUGGGGAGUACGGCCGCAAGGUUAAAACUCAAAUGAAUUGACGGGG
rnacentral:rRNA from 1 species